CGCCGAGGCGGCCAUGGCGGCGGCCGGGGAGCUGCCCGCGGCGGCGGGGGCCCGCCUGGAGAGCGUGCGGGCGCUGGCGGGCCUGCUGCGGGAGGCGCAGCCCAGAGCAAUGGCAGAAGAAAGUACAUUUCGAGGUCUCCUGGAAAUCCUGACAAGUGCCUCGGGUGAAAUCGAGCAGGCCUGCAAGGACUCUCAUGAACUGGUAGAUCUAGAUGCCUGCCUGCUGCUGCUAACAGAGUGUUUCAGAUGUUUGAGGAAUGCUUGUGUUGAGUGUGCCAAGAAUCAACACCUCCUGAGGAACUUGGGUCUCAUCUCUGCCUCUGUCCAUUUGAUCAAAUUGCUUCAUGGAAUUAAAAUCAAAGAAGAGCUGUUGCUGACUGCUCUUCGUUGCAGUCUCCAGUUUCUUGGCAACAUUGCAGCAGGAAAUAAGGAUUCCCAGCACAGCAUUUGGAAGUGUGCUUUCCCAGAUCUCUUCUUGACAUGCCUAACAUACAGUGACAAGAAGGUUGUUGCCUACUGUUGUAUGGUCCUGUUCACCUGCCUUGAUCCAGAGAAAGUGAGAGAAUUCCUGGAUCCGGGAAACUUGACUGUGGCUCUUCGUGUCCUGAAAGUCUACAAAGAGCAGUUGGAGUCUGAGUGGUCGUUCUUGAUUUUCACAGACCGUUUGCUGAACUCCCCUGAGCUGGUACAAGCCCUUUAUGCCAAACUGAGCAAUCAAGAAAGAGUUCCUCUGUUAGAGCUGAUGAUGGCCAAAGUAAGUGAGAAGAGCCCAGUUACCAGUGAGGACCCCAAUGUGUUCAUGAGACAUGCUGGCUUCUUGGCAGACUGUUUCCAGGAGACAUGUGGAGCUGUGCUCAAGUUAACUUCUGCAGCUGGUGCAGAGGAUGAGGAAGCACUGGUCACAAUUCGUCUUCUUGAUGUUCUUUGUGAGAUGACAUCCAAGAACAGACAUCUGGAACAUCUGCAGGCUUUGCCUGGCUUGCUGGAAACAGCCAUAGACACCUUGAGAUUAACUCACCUGGCUGGUAAACAGGCUGUAAAUGUCUUUACUGCCACACAUGCCGUGACAGCACAAGAGGAGAUUUCGCACCCUGCCGAGGGGUUUAAAUCUCAUCUCAUUCGCCUGAUUGGGAAUCUCUGUUACAGAAACAAGGGGAACCAAGACAAGGUGUAUGAGUUAGAUGGCAUUCCCUUGAUCCUGGACAACUGCAGCAUCGAUGACAACAAUCCCUGUAUCCUUUACAAAAGAAUCCUCAUUAUUGGAUGUGGCUCUAGAAAAGCCCUGAGGAGAAAGAAGAAAAGAGGAGAAAGGAGGAAGAAAAAACCAGCAUCAAUUCCCUGAACAGAAAAUUAACUUUCUGUAGUUCCUCUGUUAGAGCUGAUGAUGGCCAAAGUAAGUGAGAAGAGCCCAGUUACCAGUGAGGACCCCAAUGUGUUCAUGAGACAUGCUGGCUUCUUGGCAGACUGUUUCCAGGAGACAUGUGGAGCUGUGCUCAAGUUAACUUCUGCAGCUGGUGCAGAGGAUGAGUUAAACAUUUCAAAGGAAAUAGACUGAGCCAGAAAAAGAGGCCUACUUUGGAGGACUCUUUGGGCAGAAGAUUGCCUGAGGACUUCCUUAUUGAAUGUACUUUGCCUCCUUAUCUCGCUGCGUAUCCAGUAACAGACUGCGCUGGAGUGACCUGAGCUGUAGCUUCCCAAACUGCGGCGUUCGAGCAUCUCCCCUACAAAGAGAAACCUGGAGACUGAGAGGAGAUCUGAUCAAUGUGUACAAA